AAGUCUGAUGGAGCAACGCCGCGUGAGUGAUGAAGGUUUUCGGAUCGUAAAACUCUGUUGUAAGGGAAGAACCAGUACGUCAGGCAAUGGACGUACCUUGACGGUACCUUAUUAGAAAGCCACGGCUAACUACGUGCCAGCAGCCGCGGUAAUACGUAGGUGGCAAGCGUUGUCCGGAUUUACUGGGCGUAAAGGAUGCGUAGGCGGAUGUUUAAGUGAGAUGUGAAAUACCCGAGCUCAACUUGGGUGCUGCAUUUCAAACUGGAUAUCUAGAGUGCAGGAGAGGAAAGCGGAAUUCCUAGUGUAGCGGUGAAAUGCGUAGAGAUUAGGAAGAACACCAGUGGCGAAGGCGGCUUUCUGGACUGUAACUGACGCUGAGGCAUGAAAGCGUGGGGAGCAAACA
rnacentral:rRNA from 1 species